AAGGGCCAGGGCACUGAGUUCAACCUUACAUUCCGCAAGGGCAGCAGCAAGAAGUCUGAAACGCUCAAGUUCUCCACAGAGCACAGGACAGAGCUACUCACAGAGGCACUGAGAUUCAGAACAGACUUCUCAGAGGGAAAGAUCACUGGCAGGCGCUACAACUGUUACAAGCACCACUGGAGCGACACACGGAAAUCAGUGAGCCUGGAGGUGACCCCGGGG